UCCGCGACUUCAGUAUAAAACUACACCGACCACGUUUUAUUUCCCUUUUGCUUUCCGGUUUCUUGAAACGUGCGUGUGGAAAUAUUACUAACUACGGGAUUGACAAUUACUCAUUUUAGGGCUUUUCUCAAGGCCGGAUCUAAGCACUCUACCCAAGAAUUUUGUCUGGCACAACAAUGAUGACCAGUGAUGAUCGGUCAAAGACUGCGAAGUUGAAAGGGUACUUCUUGAAGCUGAAUGAUGGUAAAAAGACUCAGAACUUAAAAUGGUAAGUGAAUGGACUGUAUGGAAUGAGACCAGCAAUACCUUUUCAAUGUGUUAACAAAUCUGAUGUGUUGAUUGUACAAUAUUGACCUAAUUGUCUUAUUGAUGUCUAUUAAUAAAUAACAUUAAGAAUUUGGCUUUGAUUAUAUUCAGACAAUAACUCUGAAACUCUGGAAUAGGAAGUAUCGUCUGUUCCGACUACUGGCGAUGUUUCUAAUCCGCUGUCCUGAGCCUUAUUUGGGCAAAGUGUGAACCUCAAAAUGAUACUUUUGUCCUGUCCUAAAGCAAGUGUCUUCACCGGUCAAACUGUGUGGAAUUUGGAUCCAACCAGAAGUAAUUCAGGUCUCUAGACUGAGUUCACAAGUGAUGCUUUUGCAUCAGCUGAUCCAGCAUGUUUGGCUUUGGUUGACAAAGCACUUCUUCCAUUAAGGUUUUCUUGAUGUCCUGCUGAUAAAAUGAGAAGUGUACCAAGACUUCUCUACUGCUGAUCGUCCCAUGAUUUGCAGCAUGGGAAUAAAUGUUGACGUGCCCCUGGUGGACUCAGUUUUUGGCAAGGUGCAAUUAGGAAGCCCGCUCUCUUAUCAGCAGCCAGCAAAGGGGAAAGCUCAGACUUUCCAUGGUGCUCCUUCUCCUCCAUCAUUGCCACUCCAGGACUACAGACUGCAACCGUCAGAUUGCAUGUUUGUGUGUUCUAGGAGACAGCAGCUUCAUCUACAAAGUCUGGAGGUAUCUCUGGAUAUGGCACAUAAGAUUGAACAUGCAACUCAGGAACAGAGUUCGUCUUCUGAAUGGCACAACCUUCAGAGACCACGGGUAACAGCUUCACGUUUUAGAGAAGUGUGCCACGUGGGAGAGGCCUCUGAAGAGUUGCUUGCCGAACGCAUCCUAAAAGGUACACACCAGACAGGAGCGAUGAAGAGAGGUUUGGAGUUGGAGGCAGAUGCUAUCUGGGAGUACUGCCAGAUAAAGAGACUUGACUAUUACAAAUGUGGUUUUGUGGUGCACCCCGAUGCACCAUGGCUUGGUGCAUCACCAGAUGGCAUUGUUUUUGACCCGUCAGAGCAGUUUGGCCUUGUUGAAAUCAAAUGUCCCAAUAUAAAGAGCUAUGUGGACGCUCCCUACCUAAAGGUCAUCUAUGGAACGUUGAAGCUCAAGCUAUCACACGCCUAUUACUGGCAAAUUCAGGUCCAACUGUUAAUAACAGGCAUGGGUUGGUGUGACUUUGUUGUCUCUGCACAGGAUGACAUGUUCAUUCAAAGACUAUACAGAGAUGAAAGGGUGAUGAAUACCAUAAAAUGUAGGGUGGACAUGUUUUACUUACAUGUCUACAUAAACAAAUACCUCCAAGUAUCAUAAAUUGUGCAGAGCUGAACGUUAUGUGUGACAUCACACUUCUGUGGUCCUCUUUAUAUUGAGUAUGGUUUUAGAAGAACAAUAGAAGUAUUUCACACAGAUUUUGAGAAUUGUUAAAUGUGUCAUAAUAUGUGUUUAGUUAUGCUAUGCAGAUUUUGAUAACCUAAUGAUAAUUUUUAAAAGACAAUAUUUAGACAGUAUUGUAAUUUUCAAUUAAUAGUCUUUGUUUACACCAUCAGGUCUUGCUUGAAUUGAAUUUUGAAAUUUCAAUACUUUUGACAACCUAGACCAGGGGUGUCAAACUCAUUUUGGUCCGGGGGCCGUAUCCAACCUACUUUGAUCCCAAAGGGGCCGGAUGAGAAAACUCAUGUCAUAUAAACCCAAAAAUAGCAAUAAGUUGAAAUAUUUGUGCAGAGAAACGCAAAUCUAUUACAGAAAUCUUUUUUAUUGAUGGACUCUUUCUUUUACAAAAUAUUAUAAUAUCAUGAACAACCUGAAACUUUAAGAAAAAUGCAAUUUCAACACAAUAUUUUAACAAUAACUUGCAGGAAAAUAGGAAUAAGUCAAUUUUUCUGGGAAAAUCCUGCACUCGAUGUCCACUUUUCUCAUUUUUGACAUUUUGCUGAUGAGGUUGUCACGGUCAACAGUCAAAACGAUCGUCCUUUAACUCUUUCCCCCCUGGACGCCUACUAGGAACAACCCAUACAUAUGUUACUAGGGCUACCCAUAGAGCAUAAUUGCAUAAAAGAAAACAGACUUCCACGAGUGAUUAUAAAUGAUUUUUUACACUCAUGAACUUAAUUGUAACACAGACAUAUUUGGUAUCUCUGGAAACCUUAGACUCUGAACUAUUCAUUUAUGGAUGUUUAAAUGUGAUUCAACUCAUUUAUAGGUGUAUAACAGCUCACUGAAAAUGAGAGUUUACCUGGUCAGGUGCAAGCUCGAAAACAAAAAACUACAUUCAGCAUCUGAUAUCUGCAUGUUCUGAGUACUAUAUUCAUAAAAAAAUAAAAAAUAUACUUUGUCAAAGUAUUUAAACAGAUUUCAUAUCACCAGAUACAGUAUAGCCAAGUGUACACCUGUUUUUACCUGUUGUUCACCUGUGUGCACCCAAUAAUUUUUUUUCCAUUUAACUUAUUCAACUCAUUUAGCUUAUUCAACUUAUUUUAUUUAUUCAACUCAUUUAGCUUAUUCAACUAAUUUAGCUUAUUAUAAUAUAAUAAUAUAAUAAUAAAACUCUUCCCCGUCAGUGUGUGUCCAGUAUUUGUCAUCUUGGCUAUUUUCUCGUGCGCAGAGCUCCGCAUAAGCGUUUUUUUCUGUAGUGAUUUUGUUAUACAUCGCAUCUUGGAAAAAAAGACUGAAAUAUUUUAAAGGACUAGCCUGGGCAACAUCCAGAUUUCAGGGCAAUUUUGGUUCAUAAUCGAGUAUAAAGCUCAGAUAGUUUGUUCGGAUAUCGCAGGACUCCACACAGACGCAUCAGCGGCAUUCUCACCUUCUCCCCCGAAAGUCCGUCGCUAUCGCUGUUUUCCACUUUAUAAUCAACUUCAACAUCAUCACUUUGAAAUCUAUAAAAGUCACUUUCUCUAAACUUAUCCAUAAAAUACGUCCGCUCCUCAUUAUUUCUAAAACUGUGCGCCGCAGCGCCGCGAUCUUUCCAUUGCACGUGUUUCGUGUUGUGUUUUUUCCGGAAGCUACCAUCGUCACUAUUUCGAUUAACUUCGGAAAAAAUCGGCGAAAACAUACCCUUGAAUCCUAUUGGUCAGUCUAGUGUCGGUUGUAGUGGCCCCCACCUAUCGCAGUCUCUGUUUAAAUGUGAAAAACCGAGCCAUUUCUAAAGGUCGUCAAAUCUCGUCUUUAGUGAUACAGCGGAGGUGUCAAAAGUCGUCAUUAAGGAAACAGGGGGUCGUCAAAUGUCGUCUUCAUGGGGGAAAGAGUUAAGAGCGUUUGGAAAGAGACAAGUCUUCAUUUGUGCUGCUCUGGUGGGAGGGGCCACGUACAGAGACGCUGGAGAUGCUGCUACGCUAAGCAGAGCAGAAAAUUAACAAGAUUUUAAUAGAAAAUAUAAUUAAAAUAUUUUAGUAGAAAAUCAGCCGAGGGCCAGAUUAAAGGUCUUGGAGGGCCGGAUCGGGCCCCUGGGCCUUAUGUUUGACACCUGUGCUCUAGCAAGUUAAAAACAGAAAAAUCACAUCUGACAUAUGAACAACUUCUGGCUGCAUUUUUUAAAGGUAAAUCAGUUUUUUCAACAUAUUACAUCAUCUAACACGUUACUUAACAGAAUUAUGUCACUUGAUGCAACAGAAAAACAUUUUAUAAGGGUCAAAUAAUUUUUUAAAAACAUGCUUGACCAAACGGCUGAGAUGUCACUCUAUGGUAAAACUUGGCAUGGAGUGACAUCUCAACCAUAUGGUAACAGUUUGGUGAAUUUAUGCUAAUUUCAUAAAAUGUUACUAUUUUUGAUGGAAUUAAAACACUUCUGUUCAUGCAUUGUUGUUAAUAUGUUACAAUUACAGUGUUAUUAUACUGAAAUCAUUAUUAAUAAUUAUAUUCAAUAUGUGUAAUAGCGGGAUCCUGAUUAUCUGCCCAAACAAGUAGAGGUGAUCGGCGACCUUUCCACUGAAUUUAUGGCUGAAGAGGAGAUGCCCUCUGCAAGCACAUCUGCUAAGAAGAAGGAAAAAAAAAAGGGAAAAACACCUUAAAAAAAAGUAAUGGAAGAGCUGGAUGAGGCCCCUGUGUCACCCCCAUGCACAAAGAAGAAAAAAAAUGGCUGAAAAGAAAGAAAAAGAAUCCAGGAGAAUCUGGAAGCAUGUAGAUAUUGACGAAUUCCAGGUUCCUGAUUCAAGUUUCUGGGGUACAAGACCCUAGCCAAAUAACAAUGCUGGUACUUCCCCCUGUUUGAAUACGCCCUUGACCUGUGCAUUUCCAAUUCUUGGUUUGUCUACAAGAGAGACUGUGACCUACUGAGUGAAAAAACAAAGCCUCUCAAAAUGUUUCACCUGGCUGUGGCCCACAGUUUGAAAUAAGUCAACAAGCCAGCACCGAGAGUUGGUCAGCCAUCAUCUGCUAGUCCACCACAAAUGUCCUGUAAGAAGAAGUGCCUCCCCCCAAGACCCCCACGGCCACAACCAGACAUACGCUACGACAACUAUGGACAUUGGCCACUUCACACUGACAACCAGGGACGGUGCAGCCUCUGCCCAAAGGAUGUGUUAAGAUGGAAAUGUGAGAAGUGCAAUGUUUUCCUGUGCUUGAUCGGAGUGGGGGAAUGCUUUGUAGCGUAUCAUCAAAAAUAAUGUGCCGAGGGUUACCAUUGGUUACCAUUAUUUUGUUGGAGAGAUUUGAAUCCUUUUUGAAUUUGUUCAAUGCAAGAAAAGAAGUUUGAAGAUUUUACACAGCACAACUGAGAAGUUGGACAGGUCCUCAGGAGUCCUUUUUUAUUAUUUUAAGACAAGGGAAAUACAUAAAUGCCCCAUAUGUUUUUGAAAGUACUACUGUCACAUACAUGUUGGAAUUUUAUGUAGAAAAUGGGAGAGAAGUUCGUUUGUUGGAAUGAAAUUUAUUUGACAUGAAUUGUUUUCUGAUAUUUUUACAUUUUCUACUUUCUUUUUUGUAUUUGUAGGUAUUAAAUAAUAAUUUAAUUGCUAAUAUACAUUAAUAAUUAUGUAUCAGAUACUUUUACCAUAAAGCACCAUCUCGACCAUUUGGUAGACGCAUAUAUUUUUAAAACUGGGGGGUCUAUAUAUUUUUUUAUUUUUUGUUAUUAGUGACUCAAUAACUUAAAAAGAAAAAAAAUUUUACAUUGUUUUUUUCUUGGAGUGAACAUUAAAGGGUUAAGAUC